rnacentral:rRNA from 1 species
UGUGGCCUACGGGGGGCAGCAGUGGGGGAUAUUGCACAAUGGGGGAAACCCUGAUGCAGCGACGCCGCGUGAGUGAAGAAGAAUUUCGGUACGUAAAGCUCUAUCAGCAGGGAAGAAAAAAAGUCCACAGGACUUUGGACGGUACCUGACUAAGAAGCCCCGGCUAACUACGUGCCAGCAGCCGCGGUAAUACGUAGGGGGCAAGCGUUAUCCGGAUUUACUGGGAGUAAAGGGAGCGUAGGCGGCUGUGCAAGUCUGAAGUGAAAUGCCGGGGCGCAACACCGGAACUGCUUUGGAAACUGUAA